rnacentral:rRNA from 1 species
UACGUAGGGUCCGAGCGUUGUCCGGAAUUACUGGGCGUAAAGAGCUCGUAGGUGGUUUGUCGCGUUGUUCGUGAAAACUCACAGCUCAACUCUGGGCCUGCGGUCGAUACGGGCAUCACUGGAGUUCGGCAGGGGGAGACUGGAAUUCCGGGUGUAGCGGUGGAAUGGCGUAGAGAUCCGGAAGGACACCGGUGGCGAAGGCGGCCUGCUGGGCAGUUGCUGACACUGAGGCGCGACAGCGUGGGGAGCAAACGG